AAGAUUCUUUUCUUUUAUUGAGUGGGUCUUAAGUGAUUGAAUCGACUAACAAGUCUCAUCGUUGAACCAUUAAAUAUGAUUAGGCUCAUGGACUAUCUGAAAACUCGACUUACUGGAUUAAUUAUAUAUAUUCGGGGAAGCUAUAUCAGUUGGCCUUACUGUCGACUGUGACCUCAAUUGGGAUGACUGUAAUUGCUCUAGCUGUUUCUCCUAUGAAACUAGACAUUGUACUGAUGUGUUCACCAAGUCUUCUUCUGACUUGCCCAGUGCUCAAAACAUUGUUAAUGGCAUUACAUUCACCGCAGACCCAUUGUCCACCAGAAUCUUCG
rnacentral:misc_RNA from 1 species